AGGGAUCAUUAACACGUUUAUUCAACGUUUAACUAUACCAAUCAACCGCGUGAAACAACUGAAUCAACCAAACCCCUUUCACCACACUAUAAUUACUGACUGAUAUGUUAUUUAAGCUAUGGUCUGAUGCGCUUGCGUAUUGGAUUGUAGUGUACAGUAGCAAAACUUAAUCAAAUAUCUAAGCACAACUCUUAGCAACGGAUAUCUUGGUUCUC
rnacentral:misc_RNA from 1 species